AGCAACAUCAUUGUAUUGUGUUUUAUUAAUAUGGAGCGUUGUGAUACAAGCAAUUUAGGAACUACAGGGAAUGAUAGUGCCAUGUUGAGGAAAUUCGCAGAAACACUCUCCAUUGGGACUGCAAUAACUGGGCACACAUCCUUUCACAUGGCAUUUUCCAGCACAGUCCGGCACCGUUUUGCAUUCUCCUGUCUUGGCUAUCGAACUCCCCCCAGCUGUCCCAAACGACGACGUUAUCGUUAUCGUUUCUCUUGCUUCAGUGCUCUUCACCACUAAACCUAUCAGAUUAAUUAGUUAACAGCCAUCAACUUUUCAAAACUAGUUAUAAAUAAAUAAAACGACAAACUAAAAGGAGAUUAGUAAUUAAUCAAAAACUUACAAACGGAGAGAAGCAGGAACACGAGGAACAGUGAAGCGCGCUUCAUCUUGAGAAUAGCAAGGGCUUUAAUUUGUCUGGUAUAUGUUUUAAGUUUUGUUUGUUG
rnacentral:lncRNA from 1 species